UAGGGAAUCUUCCACAAUGGACGCAAGUCUGAUGGAGCAACGCCGCGUGAGUGAAGAAGGUUUUCGGACCGUAAAGCUCUGUUGUUGGUGAAGAAGGAUAGAGGUAGUAACUGGCCUUUAUUUGACGGUAAUCAACCAGAAAGUCACGGCUAACUACGUGCCAGCAGCCGCGGUAAUACGUAGGUGGCAAGCGUUGUCCGGAUUUAUUGGGCGUAAAGCGAGCGCAGGCGGAAGAAUAAGUCUGAUGUGAAAGCCCUCGGCUUAACCGAGGAAUUGCAUCGGAAACUGUUUUCUUGAGUGCAGAAGAGGAGAGUAGAACUCCAUGUGUAGCGGUGGAAUGCGUAGAUAUAUGGAAGAAUACCAGUGGCGAAGGCGGCUCUCUGGUCUGCAAACUGACGCUGAGGCUCGAAAGCAUGGGUAGCGAACAGGAUUAGAUACCCUGGUAGUCCAUGCCGUAAACGAUGAGUGCUAAGUGUUGGGAGGCUUCCGCCUCUCAGUGCUGCAGCUAACGCAUUAAGCACUCCGCCUGGGGGAGUACGACCGCAAGGUUGAA
rnacentral:rRNA from 1 species